UUUAAUCUUCGGGGCAGGGUGCAAUUCCCGACCGGCGGUAAAGCCCGCGAGCUCCAGUAGAAAUAGGGCAUGAACUGGUGUAAGUCCAGUGCCGAUAGUUGCGUAGAAGGCGCAU
rnacentral:ncRNA from 2 species